rnacentral:rRNA from 1 species
GUUUGAUCCUGGCUCAGGACGAACGCUGGCGGCGUGCUUAACACAUGCAAGUCGAACGGAAAGGCCCUGCUUUUGUGGGGUGCUCGAGUGGCGAACGGGUGAGUAACACGUGAGUAACCUGCCCUUGACUUUGGGAUAACUUCAGGAAACUGGGGCUAAUACCGGAUAGGAGCUCCUGCUGCAUGGUGGGGGUUGGAAAGUUUCGGCGGUUGGGGAUGGACUCGCGGCUUAUCAGCUUGUUGGUGGGGUAGUGGCUUACCAAGGCUUUGACGGGUAGCCGGCCUGAGAGGGUGACCGGCCACAUUGGGACUGAGAUACGGCCCAGACUCCUACGGGAGGCAGCAGUGGGGAAUAUUGCACAAUGGGCGGAAGCCUGAUGCAGCAACGCCGCGUGCGGGAUGACGGCCUUCGGGUUGUAAACCGCUUUCGCCUGUGACGAAGCGUGAGUGACGGUAAUGGGUAAAGAAGCACCGGCUAACUACGUGCCAGCAGCCGCGGUGAUACGUAGGGUGCGAGCGUUGUCCGGAUUUAUUGGGCGUAAAGGGCUCGUAGGUGGUUGAUCGCGUCGGAAGUGUAAUCUUGGGGCUUAACCCUGAGCGUGCUUUCGAUACGGGUUGACUUGAGGAAGGUAGGGGAGAAUGGAAUUCCUGGUGGAGCGGUGGAAUGCGCAGAUAUCAGGAGGAACACCAGUGGCGAAGGCGGUUCUCUGGGCCUUUCCUGACGCUGAGGAGCGAAAGCGUGGGGAGCGAACAGGCUUAGAUACCCUGGUAGUCCACGCUGUAAACGGUGGGUACUAGGUGUGGGGUCCAUUCCACGGGUUCCGUGCCGUAGCUAACGCUUUAAGUACCCCGCCUGGGGAGUACGGCCGCAAGGCUAAAACUCAAAGGAAUUGACGGGGCCCCGCACAAGCGGCGGAGCAUGCGGAUUAAUUCGAUGCAACGCGUAGAACCUUACCUGGGUUUGACAUGGAUCGGGAG